GCUUUCCUGUGGCACAGAUGGUAGAGCAUUGCGGUAACAAUGCAAAGGUUGAGAGUUCAAAUUCCUAGAAAAGCA